AACGAACGCUGGCGGCAUGCCUAAUACAUGCAAGUCGAACGCUCGUAGCAAUACGGGAGUGGCGGACGGGUGAGUAACGCGUGGGAACCUGCCCUUGAGUGCGGGAUAACCGAGGGAAACUUCGGCUAAUACCGCAUGUUCCCGGAGCAAUCCGGGGAAAGAUUUAUCGCUCGAGGAGGGGCCCGCGUCGGAUUAGCUAGUUGGUGGGGUAACGGCCUACCAAGGCGAUGAUCCGUAGCUGGUCUGAGAGGAUGAUCAGCCACACUGGGACUGAGAC
rnacentral:rRNA from 1 species